rnacentral:rRNA from 1 species
UACGAGGGGGGCAAAUGUUGUUCGGAAUCACUGGGCGUAAAGGGAGCGUAGGCGGGUUCUUAAGUAAGGUGUUUAAUCCCGGGGCCCAACCCCGGACCGGCACUUUAAACUGGGAACCUUGAAUAGUGGAGAGGUCAGUGGAAUUGGGGGUGUAGCGGUGGAAUGCGUAGAGAUCCCCAAGAACACCAGUUGCGAAGGCGGCUGACUGGACACAUAUUGACGCUGAGGCUCGAAAGCAUGGGGAGCAAACAGG